rnacentral:rRNA from 1 species
UACGUAGGGGGCGAGCGUUAUCCGGAUUCAUUGGGCGUAAAGCGAGUGCAGGCGGUUCAAUAAGUCUGAUGUGAAAGCCUUCGGCUCAACCGGAGAAUUGCAUCAGAAACUGUUGAACUUGAGUGCAGAAGAGGGAAGUGGAAUUCCAUGUGUAGCGGUGAAAUGCGUAGAGAUAUGGAGGAACACCAGUGGCGAAGGCGACUUUCUGGACGAUAACUGACGUUGAGGCACGAAAGUGUGGGGAGCAAACA